rnacentral:snRNA from 1 species
AUCACUCGGCCUUUUGGCUAAGAUCAAGUGUAGUAUCUGUUCUUAUCAGUUUAAUAUGAAGUUAAUGAUCACAAACCUAACAACAUACAGCAUUUGCACUACAUGGAAAUGGCCCUAGUGCAGUGACUCCUAGUGUGAUGUCAUGGGUCACAACGGAUUGUUUAUAGCUCCACAGGCACUUGCAAUCUAGACCUGAAUGGAAAAUAUUUC